rnacentral:rRNA from 1 species
CAAGUUCCCCGGGAGGGAAAGUUGCAAAGCACUUUGAAGAGAGAGUUAAAGAGGACGUGAAACCGGUAAGGUGGAAACGGAUAGAGCUAGCGUAUCUAGCUUGUAUUCAGCCGCUCUGGUUUGGGUGCCCUGUUUGCUGGUCCGGAUUCGGCCAGUUGGCGGGUGUCUCCUGGGCUUUGGUGGUGCAUUUGCAAGUGGAGUGCGCUGAGGCCUGUGGGGCAGCGGUUGGAAGUGCGCUUUGAGGAUACCCUUUGGGGUAAAACCCGGGCGUACCUAAGACUGUUUGCCCUGCUUGUACAUGAGCGUGGCUUACGGGUUUGGCUGGGGCUGAGCUGGUCGCCGGUUACGGUCGCAUGCGACACGUGCUGGUGGUUGGUUUGGUUUUGGUCUGACUCCCUCGCUCGCCCUCGGUGUAAAAGCUAGUCAUCUAUCCGACCCGUCUUGAAACACGGACCAAGGAGUUUAGCGUAUACGCGAGUCAUUGAGUGUAAAACUCAAAGGCGCAAUGAAAGUAAAGGUAUCCCUUGCGGAGCUGAUAUGCGACCUCGGGUGCUUCGGUGCCCGGGAGCAGCAUAGCCCCGUCCUAAUUGCUUGCAAUGGGGCGGAGGUAGAGCGUAUUCGCUGAGACCCGAAAGAUGGUGAACUAUUCCUGAGCAGGAUGAAGCCAGUGGAAACACUGGUGGAAGUCCGAAGCGAUUCUGACGUGCAAAUCGAUCGUCUGACUUGGGUAUAGGGGCGAAAGACUAAUCGAACCAUCUAGUAGCUGUGUCCCUUCCGA